AUACGGGGGGUGCAAGCGUUAAUCGGAAUUACUGGGCGUAAAGCGCGCGUAGGCGGUUUGCUCAGUCGGAUGUGAAAGCCCAGGGCUCAACCUUGGAACUGCAUACGAUACUGGCAAACUAGAGUGUGGGAGAGGAUAGUGGAAUUUCCGGUGUAGCGGUGAAAUGCGUAGAUAUCGGAAGGAACAUCAGUGGCGAAGGCGACUGUCUGGCUCAACACUGACGCUGAGGUGCGAAAGCGUGGGUAGCAAACAGGAUUAGAAACCCUAGUAGUCC
rnacentral:rRNA from 1 species